CCCAGGUACCACAAAAGGGAGGUUUUCAAAAGAAUUUUUGUAUACUAAAGAGGACCUACAGGAUAUUAGAGGCCUUACCAUUGUCAAGUUAAGUGUCUUUGAG